rnacentral:rRNA from 1 species
UACGAAGGGGGCUAGCGUUGUUCGGAUUUACUGGGCGUAAAGCGCACGUAGGCGGAUUGUUAAGUCGGGGGUGAAAUCCUGGAGCUCAACUCCAGAAUUGCCUUCGAUACUGGCUUUCUAGAGGCUGGAAGAGGUUAGUGGAAUUCCCAGUGUAGAGGUGAAAUUCGUAGAUAUUGGGAAGAACCCCAGUGGCGAGGGCGGCUAACUGGUCCAGAUCUGACGCUGAGGUGCGAAAGCGUGGGGAGCAAACAGG